AUCAUUUCUCUGCCUUUUGGCUAAGAUCAAGUGUAGUACC
rnacentral:snRNA from 1 species